rnacentral:rRNA from 1 species
GACGAACGCUGGCGGCGUGCUUAACACAUGCAAGUCGAACGGAAAGGCCCUGCUUUUGUGGGGUGCUCGAGUGGCGAACGGGUGAGUAACACGUGAGUAACCUGCCCUUGACUUUGGGAUAACUUCAGGAAACUGGGGCUAAUACCGGAUAGGAGCUCCUGCUGCAUGGUGGGGGUUGGAAAGUUUCGGCGGUUGGGGAUGGACUCGCGGCUUAUCAGCUUGUUGGUGGGGUAGUGGCUUACCAAGGCUUUGACGGGUAGCCGGCCUGAGAGGGUGACCGGCCAAAUUGGGACUGAGAUUAGGCCCAGACUCCUACGGGAGGCAGCAGGGGGGAAUAUUGCACAAUGGGCGGAAGCCUGAUGCAGGAACGCCGCGUGGGGGAUGACGGCCUUCGGGUUGGAAACCGCCUUCGCCUGUGACGAAGCGUGAGUGACGGUAAUGGGUAAAGAAGCACCGGCUAACUACGUG